rnacentral:rRNA from 1 species
UGAACGCUGGCGGCGUGCCUAAUACAUGCAAGUCGAACGAGUUCUGAUUAUUGAAAGGUGCUUGCAUCUUGAUUUAAUUUUGAACGAGUGGCGGACGGGUGAGUAACACGUGGGUAACCUGCCCUUAAGUGGGGGAUAACAUUUGGAAACAGAUGCUAAUACCGCAUAAAUCCAAGAACCGCAUGGUUCUUGGCUGAAAGAUGGCGUAAGCUAUCGCUUUUGGAUGGACCCGCGGCGUAUUAGCUAGUUGGUGAGGUAACGGCUCACCAAGGCAAUGAUACGUAGCCGAACUGAGAGGUUGAUCGGCCACAUUGGGACUGAGACACGGCCCAAACUCCUACGGGAGGCAGCAGUAGGGAAUCUUCCACAAUGGACGCAAGUCUGAUGGAGCAACGCCGCGUGAGUGAAGAAGGCUUUCGGGUCGUAAAACUCUGUUGUUGGAGAAGAAUGGUCGGCAGAGUAACUGUUGUCGGCGUGACGGUAUCCAACCAGAAAGCCACGGCUAACUACGUGCCAGCAGCCGCGGUAAUACGUAGGUGGCAAGCGUUAUCCGGAUUUAUUGGGCGUAAAGCGAGCGCAGGCGGUUUUUUAAGUCUGAUGUGAAAGCCCUCGGCUUAACCGAGGAAGUGCAUCGGAAACUGGGAAACUUGAGUGCAGAAGAGGACAGUGGAACUCCAUGUGUAGCGGUGAAAUGCGUAGAUAUAUGGAAGAACACCAGUGGCGAAGGCGGCUGUCUGGUCUGUAACUGACGCUGGGGCUCGAAAGCAUGGGUAGCGAACAGGAUUAGAUACCCUGGUAGUCCAUGCCGUAAACGAUGAAUGCUAGGUGUUGGAGGGUUUCCGCCCUUCAGUGCCGCAGCUAACGCAUUAAGCAUUCCGCCUGGGGAGUACGACCGCAAGGUUGAAACUCAAAGGAAUUGACGGGGGCCCGCACAAGCGGUGGAGCAUGUGGUUUAAUUCGAAGCAACGCGAAGAACCUUACCAGGUCUUGACAUCUUUUGAUCACCUGAGAGAUCAGGUUUCCCCUUCGGGGGCAAAAUGACAGGUGGUGCAUGGUUGUCGUCAGCUCGUGUCGUGAGAUGUUGGGUUAAGUCCCGCAACGAGCGCAACCCUUAUGACUAGUUGCCAGCAUUUAGUUGGGCACUCUAGUAAGACUGCCGGUGACAAACCGGAGGAAGGUGGGGAUGACGUCAAAUCAUCAUGCCCCUUAUGACCUGGGCUACACACGUGCUACAAUGGAUGGUACAACGAGUUGCGAGACCGCGAGGUCAAGCUAAUCUCUUAAAGCCAUUCUCAGUUCGGACUGUAGGCUGCAACUCGCCUACACGAAGUCGGAAUCGCUAGUAAUCGCGGAUCAGCACGCCGCGGUGAAUACGUUCCCGGGCCUUGUACACACCGCCCGUCACACCAUGAGAGUUUGUAACACCCGAAGCCGGUGGCGUAACCCUUUUAGGGAGCGAGCCGUCUAAGGUGGGACAAAUGAUU